AAUGUUUUUUAAGGUCAUCCUUUUUAAGAGAAUUAGUAGAUUUGGCAAGAGGAAAAAAUUAAAUCUCUAAUUCAUUGGGUCAUUUGAAAUAUUAGAUAGGAUUGGUAUGUUGGCCUACAAACCAGCGUAACCUCUAGAGUUAUCCAGGCGGCAUAAUGUGUUUCAUGUGUCUAUACUACGCAAGUACAACCUAAACCCCUCACACAUCCUGUACCACGAGUCCUUUCACUCUAGGAAGAUCUAUCCUAUAAGGAGUUACCGGUAAACAUUGUGGACCAGAAGAGUAGAGUGCUUCGCAAUAGAGAGA
rnacentral:lncRNA from 1 species